rnacentral:rRNA from 1 species
UUACGGGAGGCAGCAGUGGGGAAUUUUGCGCAAUGGGGGAAACCCUGACGCAGCAACGCCGCGUGGACGAUGAAGCAUCUUGGUGUGUAAAGUCCUUUCGGCAGGGACGAAACCCCCGCAAGGGGGUCGACGGUACCUGAAGAAGAAGCCCCGGCUAACUCCGUGCCAGCAGCCGCGGUAAUACGGGGGGGGCGAGCGUUGUUCGGAAUUAUUGGGCGUAAAGGGCGCGUAGGCGGUGCGGUAAGUCUGUUGUGAAACCUCCAGGCUCAACUUGGAGCUUGCAUCAGAAACUGCCGUGCUAGAGUGUGGGAGAGGAGAGUGGAAUUCCUGGUGUAGCGGUGAAAUGCGUAGAUAUCAGGAGGAACACCGGUGGCGAAGGCGGCUCUCUGGACCACAACUGACGCUGAGGCGCGAAAGCUAGGGGAGCAAACAGGAUUAGAUACCCCGGUAGU